rnacentral:rRNA from 1 species
UGGGGAAUCUUGCGCAAUGCGCGAAAGCGUGACGCAGCAACGCCGCGUGGGGGAAGAAGGCCUUCGGGUUGUAAACCCCUUUCAGUUGGGACGAAGCUCCGUCGGUUAAUAGCCGGCUGGAGUGACGGUACCUUCAGAAGAAGCCCCGGCUAACUACGUGCCAGCAGCCGCGGUAAUACGUAGGGGGCUAGCGUUGUCCGGAAUCAUUGGGCGUAAAGCGCGUGUAGGCGGUCCGGUAAGUCCGCUGUGAAAGUCGGGGGCUCAACCCUCGGAUGCCGGUGGAUACUGUCGGGCUUGAGUACGGAAGAGGCGAGUGGAAUUCCUGGUGUAGCGGUGAAAUGCGCAGAUAUCAGGAGGAACACCAAUUGCGAAGGCAGCUCGCUGGGACGUCACUGACGCUGAGACGCGAAAGCGUGGGGAGCAAACAGG